rnacentral:sRNA from 1 species
GCCAGGCAUGGUAGCCCAUGCCUGUAACCCAGCAACUCUGGAGGCUGAGGCAGGAAGAUUGCAGGUUUGAGGCCAACCUCAGCAACUUAGCAAGACCCUGUUUCAA